UGCGGGAUAGAGCAAAGGUAGCUUGCUGGCUUCAUACGCCAGAGUUGAUGGUUCAAGUCCAUCUCUCCGCAA
rnacentral:tRNA from 1 species